AACGAACGCUGGCGGCAGGCUUAACACAUGCAAGUCGAACGCCUAUAGCAAUAUAGGAGUGGCGCACGGGUGAGUAAUACUUGGGAACGUGCCUUUCAGUCUGGGAUAACUGCGGGAAACUGCAGCUAAUACCGGAUAUUCCCCUCGGGGGAAGAUUUAUCGCUGAAAGAUCGGCCCAAGCCAGAUUAGCUAGUUGGUGAGGUAAUGGCUCACCAAGGCUACGAUCGUAGCUGUUCUGAGAGGAAGACCAGCCACACUGGAACUGAGACACGGUCCAGACUCCUACGGGAGGCAGCAGUGGGGAAUAUUGGACAAUGGGCGAAAGCCUGAUCCAGCCAUGCCGCGUGAGUGAUGAAGGCCUUAGGGUUGUAAAGCUCUUUUGCCAGGGAAGAUGAUGACGGUACCUGGAGAAUAAGCACCGGCUAACUUCGUGCCAGCAGCCGCAAG
rnacentral:rRNA from 1 species